GGAGCGGUGGGUGAGAGGCUCAAACCGGCGGACUGUAAAUCCGUUGCCCGCAAGGCGUCCCUGGUUCGAAUCCAGGCUGCUCCACCA
rnacentral:tRNA from 1 species